ensembl:snRNA U4 U4 spliceosomal RNA
AGCUUUGCGCAGUGGCAGUAUUGUAGCCAAUGAGGUUUAUCCGAGGCACGAUUAUUGCUAAUUGAAAACUUUUCCCUUGAGAUGUUGAUGAGUUAAUUAUUAUCUUUGAGGAAAGAUUUUAUUUUUUAAGUGCUUUCUGAGA